UAGGAGGCCUCUAAAUGCCAGUUCUGAACCAACUGAUAAAUGUUGACAAUUAAAUUAGGAGAUGUGGCCCCUGUCCCUGGGGUGCUUCCAGUCUAAGGAGAAGUGGGCAGACACAGUCCAGAAAUGACAGGGAGGCACAUAGACAGCAAUCAAUGUGUGAGUUACUUAAUGGUGCCAUCUAUGCAGAUAGGCAGGGUCUGAGGAAUUAGAAUAAAGAUGGCACCAGAGCUUCCCUUAGAGCCGACUUGGCUUCCUCAACUGGGUGAUGAUGUGAGCCAGAUGGCUUGCAUCCCUUCCUGCCAGGGUAGCCUGCGGAGGCCAGGUUUUAAGGGGGAUUUAGGAAGGAAGGGAUGGGGGGGGCUAUCUCUCAAGCUUUGGGACCAUAGGGGACAGGCAAAUCUGUCCAGGGGUCCCCCAGAAGGCCAGCACCAUGCUAGGAGGCCCAGACUGGCCACAUGCUGUGAGCUGUAAGAAACAGCCUUAGUGACAGGCUAGAUGCUGAUCAUUCUGCCAACAUGAAGCCGCCGCAGUCCUCUGGCUUAGGAAACUCCAUAAAGUGGCCCCAGGAUAGAUCUGUGUACUCUUUCUUCUGCUGUCAAGUGGCUCAUGGCUCCAUGCAGGAUAAUGCUGACCAACAUCCAGGAGUACAGCUGCUGAGCCUUACACUGCAGGACACGCUCCCACCAAGAUGGUCUGAGGGUAGAACCAGGAUGUCAAUCUGGACUGGUCACAGAUCUUGCUGCUCUGGGCAGAGGAAUACAGAUGAAGUGUCCCAGGCCUGCCAGGCUCUGAAAGCCCUACAGGAACGACCCACCUGGGAACCCCCAUUAGCAACCACCUCUCUCAAUCAGGUCUGCCCAGGGAAAGAAAGACACUGAAGACCAUUCAGAUCCCCAGAAAUGUCAACACUCCUUGAAAGAGGUCUCCACUGGCCCGGAAAUCUCCAGACUGCCUGCACUUGUGAUAAGCACAAUAAAUAAAACAAUG
rnacentral:lncRNA from 1 species